GACUCCCCAACCAUACCCCCUGACUAGUUCUGAUGCCCUCUGCAACAGUUGGACAACUCCCUGAGCUGGUACAGGGCCAUGCAGCCCCGAGGGUUGGGGAGGAUAGGGAGGAAAAAGAAGAAUCGGGCUACUAGUGCCAAUCUACCUGGGCUCGAGUACAAGAUCUCUCAACUGACCAAUCCAGGCCCGAAGCCCAAUUCAUCUCGGACAGGCGGCUGCAGUCAAAAUGAAAGAAAGGGUUCUGAUGAAGCAGAGAGGAAGAGUUUCUCAGAAACCCAGCCAGGAGCCCGAGAAAAAUAAGCCAAGCUGUCUAGGCACCACUCCUGUCCAUAUAACUUUCCCAGUGGACUUUGGUUGAUCAUAAAAACAAAGCAAUGCUUUGAGGAGUCAGAGAAGAAGCCCAGCCUCAUCUGCCCACUCCAGGAGCCAGAAGGGAGGGGUGACCGAUAAUGCUGGCAAUAACUGGGAAUAAUAGACCCAAGAUAAUCACAUCCAACACAGAUCGUGAGUCCCAUGUGGGAUGUGGAU